UACGGAGGGGGGCCAGCGUUGCUCUGGGAAUUAUUGGGCGUAAAGGGCGCGUAGGCGGCUUGGUAAGUUUGAUGUGAAAUCCCAUGGCUCAACCAUGGAACUGCAUCUCAUAACUGCCGAGCUAGAGUCUGGGAGAGGGAAGCGGAAUUCCCGGUGUAGCGGUGAAAUGCGUAGAUAUCGGAAGGAACACCAGUGGCGAAAAGCGGCUUCCUGGUCCAGC
rnacentral:rRNA from 1 species